AACCUUCGGUUUUUCGUAUAAAUGAUUAGUGUGAUAUUCUUACUGGGUUAGUGUAGUGUACCUGUUCAUUAACAAUUUCAGAUCAAGAAAAUCAAGAUUUAGAUCCCGAUCAGUAAGAAGGUUGUGAGUAGUCCACAUUUCGAACUCCCUUCAAGUGCUAGUGAAGGUUGUCCUAAGAUGCUUAUUUAUUCGUUUUUCUUUAAUUAUUGUUUGUCUUUUAUAAACUAAGUAGAAAG
rnacentral:lncRNA from 1 species